UACGUAGGGCGCAAGCGUUGUCCGGAAUUAUUGGGCGUAAAGAGCUCGUAGGCGGCCAGUUGCGUCUGCUGUGAAAUCCCGGGGCUCAACCCCGGGCGUGCAGUGGAUACGGGCUGGCUAGAGGCAGGCAGGGGAGAACGGAAUUCCCGGUGUAGCGGUGAAAUGCGCAGAUAUCGGGAGGAACACCGGUGGCGAAGGCGGUUCUCUG
rnacentral:rRNA from 1 species